rnacentral:rRNA from 1 species
GUUUAUGGCCAUGCCACCCUAAAGACGCCCGAUCCCAUCUGAUCUCAGAAGAUAAGCAGGGUCGGGCCUGGUUAGUACUUGGAUGGAAGACCACCUAGGAAGACUGGGUGCUAUAGGUG